GACGAACGCUCUCGGCGUGCUUAACACAUGCAAGUCGAACGGAAAGGCCCUGCUUUUGUGGGGUGCUCGAGUGGCGAACGGGUGAGUAACACGUGAGUAACCUGCCCUUGACUUUGGGAUAACUUCAGGAAACUGGGGCUAAUACCGGAUAGGAGCUCCUGCUGCAUGGUGGGGGUUGGAAAGUUUCGGCGGUUGGGGAUGGACUCGCGGCUUAUCAGCUUGUUGGUGGGGUAGUGGCUUACCAAGGCUUUGACGGGUAGCCGGCCUGAGAGGGUGACCGGCCACAUUGGGACUGAGAUACGGCCCAGACUCCUACGGGAGGCAGCAGUGGGGAAUAUUGCACAAUGGGCGGAAGCCUGAUGCAGCAACGCCGCGUGCGGGAUGACGGCCUUCGGGUUGUAAACCGCUUUCGCCUGUGACGAAGCGUGAGUGACGGUAAUGGGUAAAGAAGCACCGGCUAACUACGUGCCAGCAGCCGCGGUGAUACGUAGGGUGCGAGCGUUGUCCGGAUUUAUUGGGCGUAAAGGGCUCGUAGGUGGUUGAUCGCGUCGGAAGUGUAAUCUUGGGGCUUAACCCUGAGCGUGCUUUCGAUACGGGUUGACUUGAGGAAGGUAGGGGAGAAUGGAAUUCCUGGUGGAGCGGUGGAAUGCGCAGAUAUCAGGAGGAACACCAGUGGCGAAGGCGGUUCUCUGGGCCUUUCCUGACGCUGAGGAGCGAAAGCGUGGGGAGCGAACAGGCUUAGAUACCCUGGUAGUCCACGCUGUAAACGGUGGGUACUAGGUGUGGGGUCCAUUCCACGGGUUCCGUGCCGUAGCUAACGCUUUAAGUACCCCGCCUGGGGAGUACGGCCGCAAGGCUAAAACUCAAAGGAAUUGACGGGGCCCCGCACAAGCGGCGGAGCAUGCGGAUUAAUUCGAUGCAACGCGUAGAACCUUACCUGGGUUUGACAUGGAUCGGGAGUGCUCAGAGAUGGGUGUGCCUCUUUUGGGGUCGGUUCACAGGUGGUGCAUGGCUGUCGUCAGCUCGUGUCGUGAGAUGUUGGGUUAAGUCCCGCAACGAGCGCAACCCUUGUUCACUGUUGCCAGCACGUUAUGGUGGGGACUCAGUGGAGACCGCCGGGGUCAACUCGGAGGAAGGUGGGGAUGACGUCAAGUCAUCAUGCCCCUUAUGUCCAGGGCUUCACGCAUGCUACAAUGGCUGGUACAGAGAGUGGCGAGCCUGUGAGGGUGAGCGAAUCUCGGAAAGCCGGUCUCAGUUCGGAUUGGGGUCUGCAACUCGACCUCAUGAAGUCGGAGUCGCUAGUAAUCGCAGAUCAGCAACGCUGCGGUGAAUACGUUCCCGGGGCU
rnacentral:rRNA from 1 species